GGGUUGUGAGGUUAAGCGACUAAGCGUACACGGUGGAUGCCCUGGCAGUCAGAGGCGAUGAAGGACGUGCUAAUCUGCGAUAAGCGUCGGUAAGGUGAUAUGAACCGUUAUAACCGGCGAUUUCCGAAUGGGGAAACCCAGUGUGAUUCGUCACACUAUCAUUAACUGAAUCCAUAGGUUAAUGAGGCGAACCGGGGGAACUGAAACAUCUAAGUACCCCGAGGAAAAGAAAUCAACCGAGAUUCCCCCAGUAGCGGCGAGCGAACGGGGAGCAGCCCAGAGCCUGAAUCAGUGUGUGUGUUAGUGGAAGCGUCUGGAAAGGCGUGCGAUACAGGGUGACAGCCCCGUACACAAAAAUGCACAUACUGUGAGCUCGAUGAGUAGGGCGGGACACGUGGUAUCCUGUCUGAAUAUGGGGGGACCAUCCUCCAAGGCUAAAUACUCCUGACUGACCGAUAGUGAACCAGUACCGUGAGGGAAAGGCGAAAAGAACCCCGGCGAGGGGAGUGAAAAAGAACCUGAAACCGUGUACGUACAAGCAGUGGGAGCACGCUUAGGCGUGUGACUGCGUACCUUUUGUAUAAUGGGUCAGCGACUUAUAUUCUGUAGCAAGGUUAACCGAAUAGGGGAGCCGAAGGGAAACCGAGUCUUAACUGGGCGUUAAGUUGCAGGGUAUAGACCCGAAACCCGGUGAUCUAGCCAUGGGCAGGUUGAAGGUUGGGUAACACUAACUGGAGGACCGAACCGACUAAUGUUGAAAAAUUAGCGGAUGACUUGUGGCUGGGGGUGAAAGGCCAAUCAAACCGGGAGAUAGCUGGUUCUCCCCGAAAGCUAUUUAGGUAGCGCCUCGUGAAUUCAUCUCCGGGGGUAGAGCACUGUUUCGGCAAGGGGGUCAUCCCGACUUACCAACCCGAUGCAAACUGCGAAUACCGGAGAAUGUUAUCACGGGAGACACACGGCGGGUGCUAACGUCCGUCGUGAAGAGGGAAACAACCCAGACCGCCAGCUAAGGUCCCAAAGUCAUGGUUAAGUGGGAAACGAUGUGGGAAGGCCCAGACAGCCAGGAUGUUGGCUUAGAAGCAGCCAUCAUUUAAAGAAAGCGUAAUAGCUCACUGGUCGAGUCGGCCUGCGCGGAAGAUGUAACGGGGCUAAACCAUGCACCGAAGCUGCGGCAGCGACGCUUAUGCGUUGUUGGGUAGGGGAGCGUUCUGUAAGCCUGUGAAGGUGUGCUGUGAGGUAUGCUGGAGGUAUCAGAAGUGCGAAUGCUGACAUAAGUAACGAUAAAGCGGGUGAAAAGCCCGCUCGCCGGAAGACCAAGGGUUCCUGUCCAACGUUAAUCGGGGCAGGGUGAGUCGACCCCUAAGGCGAGGCCGAAAGGCGUAGUCGAUGGGAAACAGGUUA
rnacentral:rRNA from 1 species